CCUACGGGAGGCAGCAGUGAGGAAUAUUGGUCAAUGGGCGAGAGUCUGAACCAGCCAAGUAGCGUGAAGGAAGACGGUCCUAUGGAUUGUAAACCUCUUUUGUCUGGGAGCAAAAGACGCCACGCGUGCCGUUCCGUGAGUACCCGAUGAAAAAGAAUCGGCUAACUCCGUGCCAGCAGCCGCGGUAAUACGGAGGAUGCGAGCGUUAUCCGGAUUUAUUGGGUUUAAAGGGUGCGCAGGCGGAAGAUCAAGUCAGCGGUAAAAUUGAGAGGCUCAACCUCAUAGAGCCGUUGAAACUGGUUGUCUUGAGUGAACAAGAAGUAUGCGGAAUGCGUGGUGUAGCGGUGAAAUGCAUAGAUAUCACGCAGAACUCCGAUUGCGAAGGCAGCAUACCGGCGCUCAACUGACGCUCAUGCACGAAAGUGUGGGUAUCGAACAGGAUUAGAUACCCGAGUAGUC
rnacentral:rRNA from 1 species